GCUCUACCUGCCGGCCCUGUGGUUCCACCACGUCCGGCAGUCCCAUGGCUGCAUUGCUGUGAAUUUCUGGUAUGACAUGGAGUAUGACCUCAAGUACAGUUACUUCCAGCUGCUCGACUCCCUCACGAAGGCCUCGGGCCUUGCCUGAUGGAGGCCUGGUGAAUGAAUAUUGCCCAUGACAACUUGUGGAAAAGGUUGCGCCCCUCCCGGGCCAGGUCCAUUCUAGAGGCAACGUGGAGUCAGAGUGUGCUGGUUCCCGGCCCAGCUUGGCUUGCGACCAGCUUUGCAGGAUCUCUGGAGGCUGACGGGAGCAGGAGGUACCUGCAGUCCGGGCGUGGCUCACCGGUGAGGCAGCAGCCUGCACUGGAGGAGGGGUGAGGCGCCAGGUGCGGCACGGCCUCACCUCCGUGACCCUGGGUGAGUGAGUGCCUCGGAGCAUUGGGGACCUGUCUGUAAGACAGAUAAUGAUGGUUCCUACCUCCGGAUGUUGUGAGCACCGGAGAUGGUAUCUGUGAGGGCAGCAAGGCUGGCACAGAGGAAAAGCUCAAUAAAAGAUGGCUGUGA